GACGGAGGAGCAUAGUGGUUUAAUUCGAUGAUACGCGAGGAACCUUACCUGGGCUCGAACGUAAGAUGACUGUAGGUGAAAGCUUACAUCUCUUCGGAGCAUUUUACGAGGUGCUGCAUGGUUGUCGUCAGCUCGUGCCGUGAGGUGUCGGGUUAAGUCCCAUAACGAGCGCAACCCCUACCUUUAGUUGCCAUCAGGUUAAGCUGGGGACUCUAAAGGAACUGCCUACGCAAGUAGUGAGGAAGGCGGGGAUGACGUCAAAUCAGCACGGCCCUUACGUCCAGGGCUACACACGUGCUACAAUGGCCGAUACAGAGGGCAGCUACCUGGUGACAGGAUGCAAAUCUCCAAAGUCGGUCUCAGUUCGGAUCGGAGUCUGCAACCCGACUCCGUGAAGUUGGAUUCGCUAGUAAUCGCGCAUCAGCCAUGGCGCGGUGAAUACGUUCCCGGGCCUU
rnacentral:rRNA from 1 species